GUCCACGCCGUAAACGGUGGGCGCUAGUUGUGGGGACCUUCCACGGUCUCUGCGACGCAGCUAACGCAUUAAGCGCCCCGCCUGGGGAGUACGAUCGCAAGAUUAAAACUCAAAGGAAUUGACGGGGCCCCCGCACAAGCAGCGGAGCAUGCGGCUUAAUUCGACGCAACGCGAAGAACCUUACCAAGGCUUGACAUAUAGGGAAAAGCGGCAGAGAUGUCGUGUCCGCAAGGGCUCUAUACAGGUGGUGCAUGGUUGUCGU
rnacentral:rRNA from 1 species